UACGUAGGGUGCGAGCGUUUGUCCGGAAUUAUUGGGCGUAAAGAGCUUGUAGGUGGUUUGUCGCGUCUGCUGUGAAAAUCCGAGGCUCAACCUCGGACUUGCAGUGGGUACGGGCAGACUAGAGUGUGGUAGGGGAGACUGGAAUUCCUGGUGUAGCGGUGGAAUGCGCAGAUAUCGGGGAAGAACACCUAUGGCGAAGGCAGCUCUCUGGGGACGGUAACUGGACGCUGA
rnacentral:rRNA from 1 species